rnacentral:rRNA from 1 species
GAUGAACGCUGGCGGCGUGCCUAAUACAUGCAAGUCGAGCGAACAGACGAGGAGCUUGCUCCUUUGACGUUAGCGGCGGACGGGUGAGUAACACGUAGGUAACCUACCUAUAAGACUGGGAUAACUUCGGGAAACCGGAGCUAAUACCGGAUAAUAUUUCGAACCGCAUGGUUCAAUAGUGAAAGAUGGCUUUGCUAUCACUUAUAGAUGGACCUGCGCUGCAUUAGCUAGUUGGUAAGGUAACGGCUUACCAAGGCAACGAUACGUAGCCGACCUGAGAGGGUGAUCGGCCACACUGGAACUGAGACACGGUCCAGACUCCUACGGGAGGCAGCAGUAGGGAAUCUUCCGCAAUGGGCGAAAGCCUGACGGAGCAACGCCGCGUGAGUGAUGAAGGUCUUCGGAUCGUAAAACUCUGUUAUUAGGGAAGAACAAACGUGUAAGUAACUGUGCACGUCUUGACGGUACCUAAUCAGAAAGCCACGGCUAACUACGUG